rnacentral:rRNA from 1 species
UACAGAGGGGGCAAGCGUUAUUCGGAAUUAUUGGGCGUAAAGGGUGCGUAGGCGGUCGGGUAAGUCGGAUGUGAAAUCUCAGGGCUCAACCCUGAAACUGCAUUCGAUACUGCCUGGCUAGGGUACUGGAGAGGAGACUGGAAUUUACGGUGUAGCAGUGAAAUGCGUAGAUAUCGUAAGGAAGACCAGUGGCGAAGGCGAGUCUCUGGACAGUUACCGACGCUGAGGCACGAAGGUCAGGGGAGCAAACGGG